UGGUAGAUGACUGUGAAGGCAGAAUAAUGGCCCUCCAAAGAUGUACACAUCCUAAUACCUGGAAUCUGUGAAUAUGUUACCUUACAUGGCAAAAAUGAUUUGCAAACAUAAAUUAAGAACCUUCAGAUGGGGAGACUAUCUUGGAUUAUCCAGAUGGCAGAAGGAGCCAUGAACAAAGGAAUAUGGGCAGCCUCUAAAAUCUGGAAAAGGCAAGGAAAUAGAUUCUCCCCUACAAGAUCUGGAGACCAGUGAGACCAAUAUUGGACUUCUAACUCACAAAACUGUGUCAGGCCCAUAUUGUGUCUGGAGUUGGUUCCUGCUGGUGGGUUCGUGGUCUCGCUGACUUCAAGAAUGGAGCUGCAGACCUUCCAAGUGAGUGUUACAGCUCUUAAAGAUGGCAUGGACCCGAGAGUGAGCAGUAGCAAGGCUUACUGUGAAGAGCUAAAAGACAAAGCUUCCACAGCCUGUAAGGUGACCUGAAUGGGUUGCCACUGCUGGCUGGGGUGGCCAGCUUUUAUUCCCUUAUUGUCCCCUCCCAUGUUGCAUUUCCAUCCUAUCAGAGUGUCCUUUUUAAAAGCCUCUCUGCGAUUGGCUACUUUUAGAAUCCUGCUGAUUGGUGCAUUUUACAGAGUGCUGAUUGGUGUGUUUUACAAUCCUCGUUAGACAAGAAAGUUCCCCAAGUCCCCACUUGACCCAGAAAGUCCAGCUGGCCUCACCUCUCAAUAUCAACAGUCUGAAGUCUCUCAACCUACUCCUGUUUUGUCUCUCCUGUAUCUUUUACAGGCAUUCUCCAACCCCAUUCCACCAAAAAUGUCUCUUUCACUUCUGAUUUCAAUUUAGUGUCUACUUCCUAGACAACUGAAACUGACAACAAACAGAGGCCCUUAUUUGAAGGGGGCCAUUAAAAUAUAAAGUGACAAGAAUUUAAUUAGGAUAGAUUUGAAAUGUAUUGACUAAUUAUUCAUUUAUUCAGCAAAUAUUUGGGAACCCAUUAUGCAUCAAUGUGGUUGUCUUCACAAAUAUGAUGUUACAUUUUUAAGAGGAAACCAAAACGUUUUUCUUUCUUGUUUCCAUUAUAGUCGUAGGAAUUCAGAGAAAAUAUUUCUUUUCUUCCAUUGUCUGGGUAUGAUUGCAGUGUUUCAGAAUGUACCUUAUCUCUUCUGAAAUGCAAUAACUUUCAUUUUAAAUAACUAGGCUUCUUCAACUAGCCACAUUUGCCAGAUGAUAAUAGACCAUAAAAAAUAAAGAGAAUCAAGUACCUAACUACCCAAUUAAAGAUCAAAACAGUGACAAAAUCAAAGUAGAAGAUUAUAUUUCUGGAAUGCUUGAAUUCUCCUAAUAAUUGGAAUGGGAAUAAAAACAAAAAUCAUGUAUCACACUUUAUCAAGGGUUUAGAAUAGAUUCAUUAAUAAAAUAAAGUUUGCCUUCCUUUUAUGCAAUAGAUACGUCCUGGAAAGAUGUAGGCAAAUUGAAUUUGUCUAAUCAAAUCAUGUACCAAUGCUUUUUAUUAAGGAAAGUUAUGAAUUUCUUACCAAAGAAUUGUCCAGAGUUUUAUACUGGUUUUGCUUAAAUCAAGGUAAAUUCUCAAGAUGGCAUAUUUCAAUAUACUAAAUAUAAUAAAUAAUUGAAGAGGAAAUAUUUAAUAAUUAAAUACAAAAGCUAUAUCUUGGAAGCCGGAUUCCUACAAAUUGAAAUGGGAAAUGUCUCUAGGUCAAUUUGAUUUCUCUAAAUUUGUAAAAUAAUGUUAUUUUUAAAAUCAAUAUUUUACUCUUUAAGAUAUCUUUGCCCCUUUUAAAUUUAUCUUUGCUUUCAUGUGCUCAGAAAGAAGAAAUAAGGACAAAUUUACUUUCUACAAUACAUAUUAAUAGUCUUCUCUUUCCUGAGAAUAUUUUUAUUGCAAAUAUGUAGUCAUAUAUACGUAAGAUAAGGAUAUUUUAAAUACUACUUUAAAAGUUAUUACUAUAAUGCUUUAGCUUAUACAAAUUCUAAAUCAGAGUUCAUCUAUAAUUGAUCCCUAAAGACUGAAAGAUGGUAAAGGGAAGAUGAUAAAAUUAGCUAGUUUCUAUAGAAGGAACAUGAUGUGCUGAGUAACAACUAUGAAUUCCAAAUGUCAAAAUCUACUCUUACAUAAAAUAAUUUCAAAGCUUCUGUCACCAGGAUAAAUUAUCAUGUUAAACUACCAAAUUCCAUCCAAUAAUUUGUUUUCCAUGAAAUUUUUGUAACAGAAACAGAUUAUCAUGACAAUUUGAUGUAAUCAAUAAAAAUAUUUAUGUGCUGAUUUCAUGAAAACAAGUUUUAUAUCUGGAUGAAGAUGAAGAUUAGGAGAAAAUAGCUCCUGCUCAGAAUUUCAGAGCACCAAGGGCCAGACAAUGAUGUCCAGAUAGUGGUUUUUGAAAUUUCAGUGUUUUAGAGGGUUUCUCAAAUGGCUCUUUUUGAUUCUGCAAGCAGAUUGCUUCAAAGGGACAGCUGUUUCCCUGGAGUCCACUUAAGUAUCUGCAGGCAUGAUCUUGAUGGGUCAUAUAUUAGAUAUCUACUGAUUAUUCAUUUAGCUUCCCCAGGACACUAUAGUUAAGAGGUUACACUGGCUUUCCAUUCAAAGGCAGAGCUAAAGCAGAACACAGAGCAGAACUACCUUUGAAUUUACAGUCACUGUUAGCUUUUUUUCACAUAAAAUAUCAUGUGCUGUAGAUUUUGAAGACACGGUAGCUGAAUCCACAUGCCUACAGUUUUUAAACAACAUAAAAAUGUAAAAUUAUAGAAUAGCACAUUGCUCUCAGUGAGGUGAGAUCAUGCCACUGCACUCCAGCCUGGGUGACAGAGCGAGAUGCUGCCUAAAAAAAGAAGGACACUAUCCUAACUUCUAAGAUUUUUUAAUAUUGGGAAGAUAAAAAUAUGUUACCAGAUUACCUUAUAUAAAUUAUCUCCCCUUUUCUUUCAAGCACUGGCACAUGUACUCUUGAAACAUGGACUUUAGGAAGGGCACAGAAGCCAAUUACUGUGAUGCUGUGUAAUAAGCUCAAUAAUGGUAAAAAUUUCAAAUGUUGGUAUCUCUAGGGGAGCACAGAAGAGAAAGCAAAUAACUUCUCCCGGGAAAAUUUACAAGUAACAUUAUCCUGGCAGCAGCAG
rnacentral:lncRNA from 10 species